rnacentral:ncRNA from 1 species
AAGUCGGCAAAUUAGAUCCGUAACUUCGGGAUAAGGAUUGGCUCUGAAGAUUGAGAUAGUCGGGCUUGAUUGGGAAGCAAUAAUAUGGUUUAUGUACUCGUUCUGGGUAAAUAGAGAUUUUCGGAUCUUGUUCCUCGGAUAGCAGUUACGUAACCAAUUAUGGAACUUUCUUGCUAAAAUUUUUAAGGUAUUAUCGCAAGAUAUAUUCUUUUUAAAUUAUAACGAUUAUCAAUUAACAAUCAAUUCAGAACUGGCAUGGACUUAAAGAAUCCGACUGUCUAAUUAAGCAUUGUGAUGGCCCUAACGGGUGUUGACACAAUGUGAUUUCUGCCCAAUGCUCUGAAUGUCAAAGUGAAGAAAUUAAAGAAGGCGCGGGUGAACGGCGGGAGUAACUAUGACUCUCUUAAUAGCCGUUGAAGAGUACGGACAUGCUUUCAGUGUGCGCGAACUAACACAAUUCGGCAAG